GUCGGACUUUAUCUGUGACAAAGUGGUGUUCAAAUUGACUGGAAUAUUACAAGUAGUUAUUUACCACCCCCCACAUGGAGAUGGUUGAAUGCCAGCUAACCCUUUGGUUGCCAAGCUCCUCAUGUAUCACACCAGUUGCCUAAUUGCUGUCAUGCUGACACUGUUAAUAUCAUCUUAAAUUUGAGCAAUUAGAGUACAGAAUACUUCUUAAAAAUGAAGACGACGGGGUUCUAUUACUUGUUGAUUUUACUAUUUUUUGUCACUAUUGGAAGCUGUUCCAACUCAAAUCCUUCGAGAUCGGACGACUUGAACUGUAAAUUAGAAUGCGAAGCCAGAUUUCGAAACCGUCUCGUUUGCAGCGGCGAGUUCACUGCAGACCUUGAUGACCCAAACACAAUUAACGGGUGCAGGUGCUACUGUCUUAAUAAUCGAUUUAGUUGUGAUGCAACGCAAGCUUGUUACGGAGUUUAGCUAUCAAAUUUUAUUGAUUACGAAGCAUUUAAAUAAAUAAAAUAAGGAAUUCUUAAAUGA